CAAAAUCAUAAAUAAAUAGAAAAUAAAUGUAACUGUAAAAUUUUAGCAAGUAAGAGUUAUUAUCUAAGACUCUCCUACAAGUUGGACUACAGAGAGACAUGAAGCCAAGCUUGACAAUGAAAUUUGAUAAGGAAGGAGCAGUCAUUGGCUUAGUUAGGAAGCCAGCAAGUUGUGCAGACAAAGGGUUGUGAGCGUGGAUCGAUUGUCACAAUAGAUGAAGGUGGGGUUGUUGAAAGUGAUAUGCAAGUCAGUGAAUAAAUAAUGAAGCCAUUGGACUUCACAAGUAAGGGCAGCAAGUGCACAUAUUCGGCUUCGGAGCUGGAAUGAGAAACGGUCGUCUGCUUCUUGGAUUUCCAUGAAAUUAAAGAUUUUCUUAGGAAUACAGCAAAGCUAGUAGUGGAUCUUCUAUGGUUGGACAAGUUUCCUAAUCAAUAUCUGCAAAAUCGGAGAGAAGAAUGUGUUUGGCAUGCUUCAAGGCCAAGAAAAUACCUUAAAAGACUUGUCUUUAAUACGAAUUUUGGAAUGAAGAAUGUGUUUGGCAUGCUUAA